rnacentral:rRNA from 1 species
GUGGGGAAUAUUGGGCAAUGGGCGAAAGCCUGACCCAGCAACGCCGCGUGAAGGAAGAAGGUUUUCGGAUCGUAAACUUCUAUCCUUGGUGAAGAUAAUGACGGUAGCCAAGAAGGAAGCCCCGGCUAACUACGUGCCAGCAGCCGCGGUAAUACGUAGGGGGCAAGCGUUGUCCGGAAUGAUUGGGCGUAAAGGGCGCGUAGGCGGCCCGGUAAGUCUGAAGUGAAAGUCCUGCUUUUAAGGUGGGAAUUGCUUUGGAUACUGUCGGGCUUGAGUGCAGGAGAGGUAAGCGGAAUUCCCGGUGUAGCGGUGAAAUGCGUAGAGAUCGGGAGGAACACCAGUGGCGAAGGCGGUUCUCUGGACCUUUCCUGACGCUGAGAAGCGAAAGCGUGGGGAGCAAACAGGCUUAGAAACCCGUGUAGUCC